rnacentral:misc_RNA from 1 species
CAGGACUCGCAAGACUCCCAUAAACCACUGUGAACUUACCUACAACCCGUUGCCUCGGCGGGUGCUCCGGGCGCGUCUUCGGGCGCUCCGGGGCGCUCCAGCCCGCCGGCGGCCCCUAAACUCUGUCUCUGUAACGUUGGCAUCUCCGAGCAGACUAUAAACGAGUCA